rnacentral:rRNA from 1 species
GGGAGCCGGAGGGAAACCGAGUCUUAAUUGGGCGUUAAGUUGCAGGGUAUAGACCCGAAACCCGGUGAUCUAGCCAUGGGCAGGUUGAAGGUUGGGUAACACUAACUGGAGGACCGAACCGACUAAUGUUGAAAAAUUAGCGGAUGACCUGUGGCUGGGGGUGAAAGGCCAAUCAAACCGGGAGAUAGCUGGUUCUCCCCGAAAGCUAUUUAGGUAGCGCCUCGUGAAUUCAUCUCCGGGGGUAGAGCACUGUUUCGGCUAGGGGGCCAUCCCGGCUUACCAACCCGAUGCAAACUGCGAAUACCGGAGAAUGUUAUCACGGGAGACACACGGCGGGUGCUAACGUCCGUCGUGAAGAGGGAAACAACCCAGACCGCCAGCUAAGGUCCCAAAGUCAUGGUUAAGUGGGAAACGAUGUGGGAAGGCCCAGACAGCCAGGAUGUUGGCUUAGAAGCAGCCAUCAUUUAAAGAAAGCGUAAUAGCUCACUGGUCGAGUCGGCCUGCGCGGAAGAUGUAACGGGGCUAAACCAUGCACCGAAGCUGCGGCAGCGACGCUGAUGCGUUGUUGGGUAGGGGAGCGUUCUGUAAGCCUGCGAAGGUGGCCUGUGAGGGUUGCUGGAGGUAUCAGAAGUGCGAAUGCUGACAUAAGUAACGAUAAAGCGGGUGAAAAGCCCGCUCGCCGGAAGACCAAGGGUUCCUGUCCAACGUUAAUCGGGGCAGGGUGAGUCGACCCCUAAGGCGAGGCCGAAAGGCGUAGUCGAUGGGAAACGGGUUAAUAUUCCCGUACUUGGUGUUACUGCGAAGGGGGGACGGAGAAGGCUAUGUUGGCCGGGCGACGGUUGUCCCGGUUUAAGCGUGUAGGUGUGUGUUCCAGGUAAAUCCGGUUCACUUUAACACUGAGGCGUGAUGACGAGGCACUACGGUGCUGAAGCAACAAAUGCCCUGCUUCCAGGAAAAGCCUCUAAGCAUCAGGUAACAUCAAAUCGUACCCCAAACCGACACAGGUGGUCAGGUAGAGAAUACCAAGGCGCUUGAGAGAACUCGGGUGAAGGAACUAGGCAAAAUGGUGCCGUAACUUCGGGAGAAGGCACGCUGACACGUAGGUGAAGUGAUUUACUCAUGGAGCUGAAGUCAGUCGAAGAUACCAGCUGGCUGCAACUGUUUAUUAAAAACACAGCACUGUGCAAACACGAAAGUGGACGUAUACGGUGUGACGCCUGCCCGGUGCCGGAAGGUUAAUUGAUGGGGUCAGCGCAAGCGAAGCUCCUGAUCGAAGCCCCGGUAAACGGCGGCCGUAACUAUAACGGUCCUAAGGUAGCGAAAUUCCUUGUCGGGUAAGUUCCGACCUGCACGAAUGGCGUAAUGAUGGCCAGGCUGUCUCCACCCGAGACUCAGUGAAAUUGAACUCGCUGUGAAGAUGCAGUGUACCCGCGGCAAGACGGAAAGACCCCGUGAACCUUUACUAUAGCUUGACACUGAACAUUGAGCCUUGAUGUGUAGGAUAGGUGGGAGGCUUUGAAGUGUGGACGCCAGUCUGCAUGGAGCCGGCCUUGAAAUACCACCCUUUAAUGUUUGAUGUUCUAACGUGGACCCGUGAUCCGGGUUGCGGACAGUGUCUGGUGGGUAGUUUGACUGGGGCGGUCUCCUCCUAAAGAGUAACGGAGGAGCACGAAGGUUGGCUAAUCCUGGUCGGACAUCAGGAGGUUAGUGCAAUGGCAUAAGCCAGCUUGACUGCGAGCGUGACGGCGCGAGCAGGUGCGAAAGCAGGUCAUAGUGAUCCGGUGGUUCUGAAUGGAAGGGCCAUCGCUCAACGGAUAAAAGGUACUCCGGGGAUAACAGGCUGAUACCGCCCAAGAGUUCAUAUCGACGGCGGUGUUUGGCACCUCGAUGUCGGCUCAUCACAUCCUGGGGCUGAAGUAGGUCCCAAGGGUAUGGCUGUUCGCCAUUUAAAGUGGUACGCGAGCUGGGUUUAGAACGUCGUGAGACAGUUCGGUCCCUAUCUGCCGUGGGCGCUGGAGAACUGAGGGGGGCUGCUCCUAGUACGAGAGGACCGGAGUGGACGCAUCACUGGUGUUCGGGUUGUCAUGCCAAUGGCACUGCCCGGUAGCUAAAUGCGGAAGAGAUAAGUGCUGAAAGCAUCUAAGCACGAAACUUGCCCCGAGAUGAGUUCUCCCUGAGACUUAGAGUCUCCUGAAGGAACGUUGAAGACGACGACGUUGAUAGGCCGGGUGUGUAAGCGCAGCGAUGCGUUGAGCUAACCGGUACUAAUGAACCGUGAGGCUUAACCUUACA